CUCCGAUCUGUGUAACUUGAACCACUACAUUGAACAAGAGCGCGGAUUAAAGAACUAAAACCCCAAACUCUGAUCCGUGUAACUUUGUUUGCUCCUCCUUCAUGAGGUAAGCAGCUUCUUAUGUUUUCCAGGUUUUCAAAGAAUUUACAAGGUUACUAAGCUACAGAAGCUCACUACACAGACAGGUCAUUUAUCCUUCGUCCUCAGAUUUAGAAUCAUUAUCCGGGUUGUCCUCAAGCUUCACCUCCACUUCCACCACCUGCACUGGGGUUGGGAAAGCAGGUCCUCCAGUAAAAAACGAGGACGAAGGCCAUCCACGAACACGAGAAACCGACCUCGUUUCAUCCUCUGAUAACAAAGAGGAAGCCGAUAACGAAGAAGCAGAACCAAAAUGACUCUUCACAGCAGCCAUUUUCCCAACAACCUCUAGUAUCCUAUGAGGAUCAAAAUCACCACGAUUACUAUGUAUUCCCCCAACUUUCACGUACGGUUGUGGAGGUGGAACCCAGUAAGAUGAUCCAGGCAAAAAAGGUAACCAAUCUGGAGCAGAACGCCUCACGAUAACCGAAUGGAUUACCUCCUCCAACUUCUUUACCCCACCGUCCGAUCCACUAGAUGACGAAUCUAGGUCGAUCUCGAUUAACUGAGGGUGAGGUGGUUCACCUCCACCAUCACCGGAUCCACCGCCGGAGCGAUUGGAGUUUGAACGGUGCCGGAGAGUGAGGAGAAGAGGUGGGGAGAAUACGGGUCGGGUCAGAAUUCGGGUUCGGGUUAAGGGAUUUGAGAGGAAACGAGCCAUGAGAAAACAGGGAUUUUUUUUUUUGGGCUUGUUGGUCGCCCCGAACCCGAAU
rnacentral:misc_RNA from 1 species